UACAGAGGGUGCAAGCGUUAAUCGGAAUUACUGGGCGUAAAGCGUGCGUAGACGGUCAUGUAAGUCGGGUGUGAAAGCCCCGGGCUCAACCUGGGAAUUGCAUUCGAGACUGCAUGGCUAGGAUGCGGAAGAGGGAAGCGGAAUUUCCGGUGUAGCGGUGAAAUGCGUAGAUAUCAGGAAGAACACCAAUGGCGAAAGCAGCUCUCUGGGACGGUACUGACGCUGAGACGCGAAAGCGUGGGGAGCGAACAGG
rnacentral:rRNA from 1 species